rnacentral:misc_RNA from 1 species
GAUGAAGAACGCAGCGAAAUGCGAUAAGUAAUGUGAAUUGCAGAAUUCAGUGAAUCAUCGAAUCUUUGAACGCACAUUGCGCCCGCCAGUAUUCUGGCGGGCAUGCCUGUCCGAGCGUCAUUUCAACCAUCAAGCCCCUGGGCUUGUGUUGGGGACCUGCGGCUGCCCGCAGGCCCUGAAAACCAGUGGCGGGCUCGCUGUCACACCGAGCGUAGUAGCAAUCACCUCGCUCAGGGCGUGCUGCGGGUUCCGGCCGUUAAACAGCCUUACAAAACCCAAGGUUGACCUCGGAUCAGGUAGGAAGACCCGCUGAACUUAAGCAUAUCAAUAAGCGGAGGA